rnacentral:tRNA from 1 species
UUCCUGGUUGACUAGUGAUUAGGUCGUGAUGCUCUCACCCCCACGGCCUGGGUUCAAUUCCCGGCCAGGAAA